rnacentral:tRNA from 1 species
GAUAUUGUAGUUUAUUAAAGAAUGUUGGUUUUGUAAGUCAAAGGAGGGCUAGAGGGGUCUUGAUAUCA